AACGAACGCUGGCGGCAUGCCUAACACAUGCAAGUCGAACGAGACCUUCGGGUCUAGUGGCGAACGGGUGCGUAACGCGUGGGAACCUGCCCUUAGGCUCGGAAUAACUCCCCGAAAGGGGUGCUAAUAUCGGAUAAUGUCUUCGGACCAAAGAUUUAUCGCCUUUGGAUGGGCCCGCGUUGGAUUAGCUAGUUGGUAGGGUAAAAGCCUACCAAGGCGACGAUCCAUAGCUGGUUUGAGAGGAGGAUCAGCCACACUGGGACUGAGACACGGCCCAGACUCCUACGGGAGGCAGCAGUUGGGAAUAUUGGACAAUGAGCGAGAGCCUGAUCCAGCAAUGCCGCGUGAGUGAUGAAGGCCUUAGGGUUGUAAAGCUCUAUUACCCGGGAUGAUAAUGACAGUACCGGGAGAAUAAGCUCCGGCUAACUCCGUG
rnacentral:rRNA from 1 species